GUUUGUAGAUGUUUUCUAGCUUUGAUGUAACUUCAGAUCAAGCUUGAGUACAAAUUCAGCUGUAAACUACAGUUGUGUGUAUAUUGAUCUCUCUACCUCUCUGUUCCAGCUUGAGAAGUUGUAUACCCUUGGCAUGAAGCCCCUGCUGCUGAUUGCACAUCCUCCUAAGAUGGUGACAGGGACGCACACGUACCAGACUAAAAUAAUGCUGCCAGUGCAUGCCCAACUUAGCACAUCCGCUAAGACAUGCUUAGAGAAUGUGAAUGCCAUCUACAAAUUGAUGGUUGAAGGUUGGACAAGACUCAACCCAGACCAACUACCUCAAGAAGACGAGGAGAACUUCAUUCUAAAUUUGGUGCCGUGUGGUUCACCAUCCAGGGAACCAGCACACCAGGCUCCACCCAUCCAGGAACCAGCACACCAGGCUCCACCCAUCCAAGAACCAGCACACCAGGUCUCAGCUGUGCAGCCACCACUGCGGGGUCCACAGCAAUGUAAAAGACUACAAAAAAUCAAAGGUGUGUUUUAGUCUAUGCACGGCAUGUAUUGUACAGACAUUUUACCCCUGCAUAAUUGACUUGAAGUUAAUGUGAUUUUUGUAAACCCUCCAAACAUUAUUGAUUUAUUAUGGAUCUGAUCCAGAAUUGCAAUUAUACUGUAUGCCUAGAUACUAUAUUAUUUUAUUGUUUUUUUAAAUAAGAAUUUAAUUGAUGGUUCUUUACACAUCCCUGCUUCAUGUAAUUAGAGAGCUGCAAAGUUAAAGUCCCAAUGUAAAGAAUACCAGUGUAAAAGAUAUCUGCCUUUGUGGCAAGCGAUGGAAAAUGUAAACAUCCCAUUAGGAAACACAACAUAAAGAAGGAAUGGCAAAAAAAAAGAUUUUGAAUAGAACCAUGUGCAGCCUUUGAUACUCCUGUAGUUCUCAAAUCUCACUAGGACAAGCUAAAUGUGCUAAUGACAAACAGUGGAAACAAUGCAUACAUGUGUGGAUUGUGAAUUGAUUCCUCCACAAAAAGUACAACACAUAUUGUGGACAUUGGUGCAAAUAAUAUAUUCCUUACAAUUACAGAUUGCCCUCACAGUCGGCUUGAAAUGUUCCCAGUCUGUGAAAUAAUAAAGACAAGGAAAAGAAAGGUAGGACAAUGACUAACUGGAUGAAAGUGUUUCCUCUCAAUUAGUUAAAUAAUGCUAAUGGAAUUGUCAUUUCAAAACCUUAAUUAAGUUAAAUUUCACUUUAAAUGCAGCAACAAAUAUGUGAUUAAGAACAAUGCUUUUAUCGCUUUUAUUAUUUAUUCAAAAAACAAACAUUACCCCUAAAGACACCCAGCUCCCUCCACCCUAAAAAAAUACAAAGGAAACGCUGGAUGACAUUCUAUGACUGUUGGAUAAAUUGUUUUGCAAUUACUUAAUG
rnacentral:lncRNA from 1 species